AUGUUAGAAUACAAUAAAUUGAAACCUAAGCCAGAAAUUUCCAAGGGAUUUCACGAGUUCAUCACUAGGAUUUGUGUAGGAAUCAGAAUUAGGGUUGGCUUUCGAAUCAUGUUCAAGCAACAAUCAAAGCCUCAUAUAAUUUUGGUUCACCCAAAUCAGUUUUCGAGCAAGCAAUCAUGGGCCAAAUUCCAUCUACUACAAGUCACAAAAAAACAAGUUUUGGUUCACAGUAGAGUUCAAAACGAGCAAGCUUACUACACAAGUUUCACAAAA